rnacentral:rRNA from 1 species
AUGGCCCUUGUGAAGGCGGCUGCGAGCUGGCGCUCCUGGAUCACACAUGACACCACUUCGGUGAAGGUGCAAGCUUUCACGGCAAGCAGCGGGGUUCCAUGUGAGGACAGUCGGCAAAGCUUCCCGGUGAUGUUGCGGGUCACGGCGGAGGGGGAGGCUGCCGGCUCCAAGCCGCCGCGGCACGUCGGUGCGGACAUCGUCGCCGUGCUAGACAUCAGCGGGAGCAUGCUGGGGGACAAGCUGGAGCGCAUGAAGGAGGCCAUCACAAACGUCAUCGACAAACUCGGCACCAACGACCGGCUCUCCAUCGUAUCCUUCGAGUCCAAUGUGUACCGCCUUACGGAGCUCACAUACAUGUCUGAGCAAGGCCGGAGAGCCGCCCGGGACAAGAUCAAUGAGCUCUUCACCAAAGGCGGCACCAAUAUGGGCCCGGCUCUGCAUGAGGGAGCUCAGAUUCUGCGGGGGCGUCCAGCUGAGGAAAUGAGCAGCCGUGUAGGCUGCAUUGUGUUCCUGUCGGAUGGUUUGGACAGUGGUAUCUUUGAGGCAACUAUUAGCCCCGAUUUCCCAGCGCACACCUUCGGCUUGGGCAAGGACCACGACCCCAUGGCCAUGAAGCACAUCGCCGACAAGACCUCCGGCACCUACUCCUACGUCAACAAGGACACUAAGAGGAUCAACUAUGCCUUCCAACUAUUCAUUGCCGGCGUCACAUCUGUAUCUGUGACAUCCGUCGAGAUCACCCUUGGGACUCCUUAUGGCAUCCUCAUAUCGUCUAUCGAGUCCGGAGGCUACUCCAACAAAAUGAGCUCUGACGGGCGGUCCGGCACGAUACACAUCGACAACAUGUAUGCCGGCGACAGGAAGAACUUCAUCGUCUUCCUGGAGCUGCCAGCCACGAAACAGGAGGGUAAGCAGAAGGUGCUGACCGUCGGCGGCCACUACCAGGGCCUCAGUGUUGUGAGCAAGAAGCUGACCGGCACUGAUGUGUCUGUCAUGCGACCACUUAAGAAAUUUUCCGACAGGCUAGUUAAUGACCCUGAUGUGGCAGAAGAGGUCGCACGGACCAAGUUGUUGAAGGACAUCGGGAAACUCUUUCAGCAACAACCACCCAAUCUUUCCGGAGGAAUGCCAAACAUAUAUGACUCUUUUGUGGUCUCCCCGGAGGGCCUUCAAGCCCCCAAAACCUUGAAAAGCUUCGAGGGGGAUUAUAACAAGAUGAUGAUGGGCAUCGGCGACCCCAAAAUGCACAAAAUAUUAGGGCUGCCUUACAUAUUGUCAUGGCUAUCUUCCCAUAGUUGGCAACGUGCAACCACCAUGGACGACCCCUGCGACACUCCUUUCAGAACCCCAGGGCAAAAAGUCGUCCAGGAUGCCAGCACUUUUGUUGCUGUUGGUGGUGGCAGUGGUGCUACUACUACUGGUAGUGGCGGUACUACUGCUGCUACAUCUAGAUGGGAAAAGAUCAUCGCAAGGGCGAAGAGCAACCCUUGCUCUUGCUUGCUGCCGAGUGUUGCCGUGACACUUGCGGUGGCCUCACUCUUUUUGGCGAUGCUCUAUUCUACACUCGAGGGAAGCCCCAAUCCGGCGAUGAAAUUAGGCCCACUGCAGUAUCCGAUGCUCACGGAGAGCAACUAUGCUGCUUGGGCCAUCAAGAUGGAGGCAUACAUGCGCGCUCAAGGGGUUUGGGAUGCUGUCGGAGCCAAAGACCAUCCCAAAGUUUCGGCAAGGAAGAACCAAAUGGCGUUGGCUGCCAUUUACCAGGCUAUCCCGGAGGGCACACUUUUCCUGCUAUCCCAGAAGAAGACAGCCAAGUCGGCGUGGGAGGCGCUCAAGACCAUGCACAUCGGAGACCAGCGCCUGAGGGAUGCCAAGCUGCAAACCCUCAAGCUGGAGUUUGAGGCGUUGCGCAUGAAGGAGACGGACUCCAUCGACGACUUCGCCGUCCGGCUGACGACGGUCGUCAACAAGAUCCACACACUCGGUGAACGCAUCGAGGAGCCCUACACCGUCAAGAAGUUCCUCCGCGCCGUCCCCAACAAGCACAUCCAGAUUGCUUCGACCAUCGAGCAAUUUGGCGACCUCAACACCAUGACACUCCAGGAGGUUAUUGGGCGGCUCAAGGUGCAUGAGGAGCGCCUAGGACGACUCGGUGCUACCGAGAAGGAGAAUGAGUUGUUGACACGCGCUGAGUGGAUAGCGAGGGAAGAGGCUGAUCAGUUCAGCCAUGAUGCAACCAAGGUAUAUGCUUCGGUUGCCAAGAUCCUCCUCCAUGACGCCAAGAAGGAGAAUGAGUUGUUGAUGCAUGCUGAGUGGAAAGCGAGGGAAGUAGUUGAUCAGCUCAACCAUGAUGCACCCAAGGUAUAUGCUUCAGUUGCCAAGAUCCUCCUCGGCAGGAGCGGGGGAGGCUAUGGCGGUGACACAUACCGGGUAAGCGCUUCCAUUGCCAAGAUUUUGGACACUUUGCUUACAAGUGCCGCGAGGAAGGAAAGGGAGGUGAAAUCCCUGAUCGGUGAAGCUCACGGUGACAAUGAAGUAACUCUUCGCCUCUGA